rnacentral:lncRNA from 1 species
GGUGGCUCACGCCUGUAAUCCCAGCACUUUGGGAAGCCAAGGUGGGUGGAUCAUGAGGUCAGGAGAUCAAGACCAUCCUGGCCAACAUAGUGAAACCCCGUCGCUACUAAAAAUACAAAAAUUAGCCAGGCGUGAUGGCAUGCACCUGUAAUCCCAGCUACUCAGGAGGCUAAGGCAGGAGAACUGCUUGAACCUGGGAGGCGGAGGUUGCAGUGAGUCGAGAUCAUGCCACUGCACUCCAGCCUGGGUGACAAAGCGGGAUUCUGUUUCAAAAAAAAAAAAGAAGAAGAAAGAAAGAAAGAAAGAAAGAAAGAAGGAAGGGAAAGAAAGAAAGAGAGAGAGAGAAAGAAAGAAAGGAAGAGAAAGAAAGAAGGAAAGAAAGAGGCGACUGUGGAAAAGGAUGAUUAGGGACGCUAAGGAAGGUGCAGUGGCUCACGCCUGUAAUCUCAAAGUGGAGGCUGAGGGAGGAGCAUCAGUUGGGUCCAGGAGUUUGAGAUCAGCCUGGGCAAGAUGACAAGACCCCAUCUCUAGUUAAAAAAAAAAAAAAAAAUUACUGAUUCUCACCAAAAAAAAAAAAAAAGCCAGGCGUGAAGACAUGGGCCACCUACUUGGGAGGCUGAGGUGGGAAGAUCGCUUGAGCCUGGGAGAUCAAGGCUCUUGAGCCUGGGAGAUCAAGGCUGCAGUGAGCUGUGAUCACGCCACUGUACUCUAGCCUACGCGACAGAGUGAGACUCCAUCUCUAAAAAAACGAAACUAACCAACCAAAAAAAAAAAAAAACCACAAAAAGCAUGUUGUUUUGAACAGAGCGCAGUGCUCCAGCUAAGGUCAGGCCAGCACAGAGGGUGCUAAUGAAAUUCACCUCGCAGGCUCUGGCACUGUGGUUCUCAUGAGCUCUGUUAGCUUGCCGGUAUUUUCAGACCCACAUAGGCAUGUCCUUGUUGAGCAGGUCACUUCGGUUCAUGAAUACGGCCACCAAGGAUUUGAGGCCCCUCUGCCUGCCCCCCAUGGAGGGAGCCCUAGGGCUCAGAUGGUGGCUCUUAACAGACCUCAAUGGUCUGAUGAAAACUCUGCAUCCUCUUCCAAGAAAAACGCAUCUACUCAAAAAUUCUCUAUAUGACACCAGGACUCCCUGCAGACCAUCCUCAGACCCCAGGUUAGGAAUUUCCAUCUGGAAGCUGAUACUCAAAAAUAAAUUCUGAGGCAGCCUCCCUAUUCAAACUGUGGGGCUCAGGGCAAAUUCAAAGUAAUAAAGUAAUAACCUCUCACACGAGUGCUGUGCUCGACAACUCACAAUACACGUUCACGUACAUUGCUGGGAUAGACCCUAGGGUCUGGAUUAUAAUCGAAUAAAGGAGGUCAAGGCCCAGAGAGGUCCAGUGACUUGCUCAAGGUCACACAGCCAAUCUGGGCAAAGUCACUCCAGACUCUCUUACCUUCAUGGGGCCUCACAGAAGCCCAACACAAUUUGCCCACCAGUGGGGAAGAUGCAAUGGAGAACAGGUUGCAUUUGGCCCCUGGGGAAACUGGUCCUGGCUGUGUUCAGCCGGCUCCUGCCGCUGCUCCACAGAGGCACACCCAGCUUGGCCUCUGUGGUGAGCUGUGGUGAGCUGUGGUGAGCUGUGGUUUGAGCAGCCUCCCUCCUAACGAAGGCAGAGAGAAGGCCAGGUUGUCAGGCUGUGUCUUGUGAGAAGGAGGGAACCAGAGGAGGGGCAACGGCAGAAACCAGACCUGAAGCCUGAACCCCAGGAACCCAGGGGACAAAGACUCCCUGGCCACCACUUGUCCCAAGACUGCAGACACCUCACUGGCCAGGAGCAUACAAGCAGGAGUAUACAAUGUGGCCGGGGGUGCAUAGGAGUCAGGAUACAGAGCCAUGUUCUGUGUGUAUGAUGUUCACAUACAGGAGCCAGACUUGACCAUGGGAGACCAGUUUUUAAGUUUCCAAGGAAUUCUUGCUCCCUAAACAUGUACUUGACCCAGAAAACUCUUCAGCCUUCAAGGCCCAACUCCCUCCACGAAGAAUCUGUCCAGUGUCUGAUGACUAAAGGCCCUGGAUUCAGAUCCAGCUUAGGCACCGCCUGGUCAUUAUCUGACUUCUCUACAGACUGUGCCUCUAGUAGGCUGGAGCCCUGGACUCAACUCAAUAUUUCACCCCUGCCCCUAGCAAUAGGGGGUCAAUGGACAUUUGUUCAAUAAGCUCUAGACACCAGAAAGGGUGAACUGUCUCUUGGCUUCAGUUGUUCUGUGACUUCAGGCUAAAUCCAAAACCUCUGCGGUCAAAGAAGGCCAUUGCCACCCCUCCCCACCCUGUUCCCUCUUAGGUGGAAGGCAAUUGUGGCCCUUAGAAACCCUCUGAAGAAGCAUCUAACAGCUUUUCUCAGGCCGAAAUGGGAGAGGGUGAAGGUUUAGGAAAGAAAACGGUCAUUCUUAUGUCUUUCCCCAAACCAGAUGAUUUCCCUUUGUUCCAAACAGUUGGCAAAGACGUCUGGGCAGAGAAAGGGUCCUGACUUGAUGCACUGCUCUGCAGGCAGCUGGGUGACUCCGGCCUCUGUUGGUUUGCAGCCUGGGCCAGGGCUGGGGAGUUGCUGAGGGGUGGGCUCAGGCUCACAGUAGGUAGGCUGCUGCUUGGGCUUUCAACUAUUACCUCUGAUCACAAUGAAUUCAUGAAUUUAUAUUAGUUUGAUGCAUAUCUCUUCCACUGGACUUCCAACCUCUGGAGCGCAGGAACCACACUGUAUUUAAUUCUGGAGCCUCAGGGCCUGGCACAAUGUCAAGCACACAGUAAGUGCUCAGUAAGUGCUAGAGACAAAAACGCACUGCAGCCUCCCUGCCAGCCUGAUUUCUGGAGCAUCCCUGACUCUCUUAAUGGAAAGAGCUUCUCAGAGCUUCCCAAGCUGACUAGAGGAGGGACUGUCAUGGUCAUGGGCCCUGCUUCCCUCUUAUAGUUCUCUUAGCUGGAAGGCAGGAUCCUUCUCCUCUGAGCUGCUUCUGAGGCCACUUAUUUGUUUAUUUCCAAACCCAAAAAUGCUUCUUAGGUUUUGCUGCCACCUGACUUGAAGCUCUGACCACCCCAGUGCUACUUCUGCUCUGCCCCAUCCAGACAUCAAGCGAGAUUCAUUCCCCCAGCCUCAGACAAACCACACCCCUAUCACAACCGUAACUAUUCUUAGCAGAGCAGGAAGGGGGGCGCUGCCGAAUGACCUCGCUGCCUAUAGAGACUUCACCUCCACCCACCCUUCACUCACCCGGUGUCACUUCCCCCUUUUAAUAACAACAACACUGACACCAAGUUUCACUUCCACCACUUCCUGUGGGUUUUGUUCAUCCUCAGCUGCUGAGGUUUCUAGAGGGUGGGUGAGUCUCUGGCCCAGCUGCAGGAAGGUCCCUCUGACUAUAAACUCUACCCCUAAGCAUUUAGAGGCUUGCCCUUCAGUCCUCAGA